UUGCAAGUCCUCUUCAUCUUGACACUUUCACUUCCUUUGCUACAAGGUGAAGUGGCCAUCGGGCCCGUGCAGGAGACUCUCUCCACGGCGUUUCCUGACACUUGAGCCUCCAAGGGCCCUCGUUAGGUGCUUGUCUUCAAGAUGAUCGGCCUGCUCUCCCCUGCGCUGUUGAGGUGGGGCCAUGAGGCUUAGAGAGGUUAAGCAACUUGCCUGAAGCCACGAUGCUUGUGAGUGACAGAGUAGAGCUCCAGUGCCCCUUCGACACUAUCCUUCAGCGCCUGGAGAGAGCCCUUCACAAGCACGUGUAUGGGUGGUGGAGGAUGAAGUCACAGCACACAGCUCCAAGAGAAGCUUUGAGUCAUGUUACAUCCAUUUAACACACGGAGGAAACCCACAGGCCUGGAGCAGUCAGCUGGCCCGAGGAAUAAGCCAGUCUCCUUGGGGCUGGACAACCUUCAAAGCUCAGUGUGUGCAGCCUAGUCACCUUGCUUGAACCAGGCUGCCUCACCAGAACUUGAAAAUGUCUAUCUGCACUUCAGUCAACAUUGUCUUGGGGGAGCAGGGGAGGCGGGGAUAGGACGAGGGAAGGGGUGGCCUGCUGCCACUGUUUCUCUCCCGAAGAUGGGAUCACUCAGUAGAUGCAAAGUUGCCCUUCAGCGGGGCUUUCUUCUUCCAUGUGUGGAGCUCUAGGAAUCUGCCCCCAGGAACCUGGAUGGAGCACAUGCAGCUCCUACAUGCCCACAAAGUUCCAGAUCCCCAGGGAAAUUGCCGUAGCUCUGGGCAUCGGCAGCAUCAUACGUCCCAGCCUUUUCCUCCAGAUCCUCCUUGCAGAAGCCAAGGAGGACAGAGAGUGUUGGGGGCUGAGCAGAACGGUGUCAAAAGAAAAUGUGGGCCUGAAUCUGCCAGCACCAGCAAAGUUGGCUGCCUUACCAUCACUCUAUUUUCUGACGAUCAAAGCAAUAAAUGCUCAUGGUGGAGAAGCUUGAAAAUGCUGGAAAGUAUAAAGAAACAAUAAAAACUACCCCUAAUCCCAUCCCGCAGAGAUAGACCUUCUCCUAAAAUUGUGAUGUGUUUCCUAAGGAUCUCUGUCCAUAAAGAUAAUUGCCUUCAUACUUCA